AUUGAGCGCUGGCGGAAUGCUUUACACAUGCAAGUCGAACGGCAGCACGGGGCAACCUGGUGGCGAGUGGCGAACGGGUGAGUAAUACAUCGGAACGUGCCCAAUCGUGGGGGAUAACGUAGCGAAAGUUACGCUAAUACCGCAUACGAUCUACGGAUGAAAGCGGGGGAUCGCAAGACCUCGCGCGAAUGGAGCGGCCGAUGUCAGAUUAGGUAGUUGGUGGGGUAAAGGCUCACCAAGCCAACGAUCUGUAGCUGGUCUGAGAGGACGACCAGCCACACUGGGACUGAGACACGGCCCAGACUCCUACGGGAGGCAGCAGUGGGGAAUUUUGGACAAUGGGCGCAAGCCUGAUCCAGCCAUUCCGCGUGCGGGAUGAAGGCCUUCGGGUUGUAAACUGCUUUUGUACGGAACGAAACGGUUCUCUCUAAUACAGGGGGCUAAUGACGGUACCGUAAGAAUAAGCACCGGCUAACUACGUGCCAGUCGCCGCAGUAACAC
rnacentral:rRNA from 1 species